CACGUAGGGCGCGAGCGUUGUCCGGAAUUAUUGGGCGUAAAGAGCUCGUAGGCGGCCUGUUGCGUCCGCUGUGAAAGCCCGGGGCUUAACCCCGGGUCGGCAGUGGAUACGGGCAGGCUGGAGGCAGGCAGGGGAGAAUGGAAUUCCCGGUGUAGCGGUGAAAUGCGCAGAUAUCGGGAGGAACACCGGUGGCGAAGGCGGUUCUCUGGGCCUGUUCUGACGCUGAGGAGCGAAAGCGUGGGGAGCGAACAGG
rnacentral:rRNA from 1 species